GACGGAUAGUUACAUAGGUUAUAUGAACAAACAAGCAUACAUACGCAAAUGAAGGCUGAAACACAUGGCCAUAUAUAUAUACACACUACUUCACACAAGGAUACAUAUGGAGACACGUCCACACAGAUGGCGAUGCACAUCCAUACAUACAAACAAACAAACACGGUACAUAGUUUCAAAACACACACACACACUCAGACAUGCACACACAAGGAGACAGGGGUACACACACACAUAUACAAACACACACACACACACACACACAUACAUAAAAACACACAAACACAGACAUGCAAACACACGAAUAUGCAGAAUACAUACAUAUAUAGAUACAUAUGCACACACACACAUACAUACAUGCAUGUAUAGGCACACACACACACUGAUCCACACACAUAAGCACAAACCAACAAAAAGGAACGCAGUAUGAGUAACGGACAGUCAAGAUUAUGAAAAAGGUUGCAAGAUGCAACGAAAAUUUUAGAAAAAGAAAAAAGUGGAAAUUUUACCGUGGAACACACAAAAGUGAAGAAUAAAAUUCAUAUGGAAGCUUUCAUCUUGUCAACAAAAAGUAUGUCUCUGAAGAAGAAAGAAGACAAUCAAACAUUUCAAUCAUAAGUUUGUUUAUCAUGGUAUCAAAUUUGAAAGUAAACACAAUAUAUCUUAUAAUCUGAUAAAUAGAAAAUGUUUACUUUUAUUUUUCUACAUAUCAUUUAAUACCAGAGGAUAUUGCAAACUAGAGCUCAACAUCCCAAGAUAUUUACAACUGUGGUAGCAUUUCUUUAAAUAAAUUGUUGUUUUUAAAACCUGUUGUGCUGAGUUCAUUCUACUAUGUUCUACACCAGCAGCUCCCAGGGCUUCAUGCCACCUUCAAGCAUCCUUCCAGUAACCUUUGACAGUCUUCCCUCUAGAAAUAAAAAGUUUUCUCUAA